rnacentral:rRNA from 3 species
GGACUACAGGGGUUUCUAAUCCCGUUUGCUCCCCUAGCUUUCGCGCCUCAGCGUCAGAAGAGAUCCAGCAAGCCGCUUUCGCCACCGGCGUUCCUUCCGAUAUCAACGCAUUUCACCGCUCCACCGGAAGUUCCGCUUGCCCCUACCUCCCUCAAGCCGAUCCGUAUCCAAGGCACUUUUCCGGUUAAGCCGAAAGCUUUCACCCCGGACGUGAUCGACCGCCUACGCGCCCUUUAAGCCCAGUGAUUCCGAACAACGUUCGCACGGUUCGUCUUACCGCGGCUGCUGGCAC